GCCCGUUUGGCUCAGUGGUAAAGCGUCCCACUCGUAUCGCCGCGAUGGGAAGAUCACAGGUUCAAUUCCUGUAAUGGGCA
rfam:Rachicladosporium antarcticum strain CCFEE 5527 scaffold_8, whole genome shotgun sequence.